rnacentral:tRNA from 2 species
GGGCGCCUAGUUCAGUGGUAGAAUGCUUCCUUCACACGGAAGAGGUCGUAGGUUCGAUCCCUACGGCGCCCA